CCCCGGGCUCAACCCGGGAACUGCGUUCCGAACUGGGUGGCUAGAGUGUGUCAGAGGGGGGUAGAAUUCCACGUGUAGCAGUGAAAUGCGUAGAGAUGUGGAGGAAUACCGAUGGCGAAGGCAGCCCCCUGGGAUAACACUGACGUUCAUGCCCGAAAGCGUGGGUAGCAAACAGGAUUAGAUACCCUGGUAGUCCACGCCCUAAACGAUGUCGACUAGCUGUUGGGGCACUUGAUGCCUUAGUAGCGUAGCUAACGCGUGAAAUCGACCGCCUGGGGAGUACGGUCGCAAGAUUAAAACUCAAAGGAAUUGACGGGGACCCGCACAAGCGGUGGAUGAUGUGGAUUAAUUCGAUGCAACGCGAAGAACCUUACCUGGUCUUGACAUGUACGGAACCUCCCAGAGACGGAAGGGUGCCUUCGGGAGCCGUAACACAGGUGCUGCAUGGCUGUCGUCAGCUCGUGUCGUGAGAUGUUGGGUUAAGUCCCACAACGAGCGCAACCCUUGUCAUUAGUUGCCAUCAUUCAGUUGGGCACUCUAAUGAGACUGCCGGUGACAAACCGGAGGAAGGUGGGGACGACGUCAAGUCCUCAUGGCCCUUAUGACCAGGGCUUCACACGUCAUACAAUGGUCGGUACAGAGGGUAGCCAAGCCGCGAGGCGGAGCCAAUCCCAGAAAACCGAUCGUAGUCCGGAUUGCACUCUGCAACUUGAGUGCAUGAAGUCGGAAUCGCUAGUAAUCGCAGGUCAGCAUACUGCGGUGAAUACGUUCCCGGGUCUUGUACACACCGCCCGUCACACCAUGGGAGUGGGGGAUACCAGAAGCAGGUAGGCUAACCGCAAGGAGGCCGCU
rnacentral:rRNA from 1 species